rnacentral:rRNA from 1 species
GAUGAACGCUGGCGGCGUGCCUAACACAUGCAAGUCGAACGGAGUCCAGCCUUUAAGACCUUCGGGUCAAAGAGGGGAAGACUGAGUGGCGGACGGGUGAGUAACACGUGGGCAACCUGGCUCAUAGAGGGGGAUAACAGAGAGAAAUUUCUGCUAAUACCGCAUAAGCACACACUGCCGCAUGGCAGAGGGUGAAAAGAGAAUCGCUAUGAGAUGGACCCGCGUCUGAUUAGCCAGUUGGCAGGGUAAGAGCCUACCAAAGCGACGAUCAGUAGCCGAUCUGAGAGGAUGAACGGCCACAUUGGGACUGAGACACGGCCCAAACUCCUACGGGAGGCAGCAGUGGGGGAUAUUGCACAAUGGGGGGAACCCUGAUGCAGCGACGCCGCGUGAGUGAAGAAGUAUUUCGGUAUGUAAACCUCUAUCAGCAGGGAAGAUAAUGACAGUACCUGAAUAAGAAGCCCCGGCUAACUACGUG